CUUAAUCGAUUUUUAUAAAUAAAAUUUUUAAACCGAAAAUGUACGGAUUUUAUGUUUUAGUUGAAGUUAUGAUAAAUCUUAGUUCUUUGAUUAGUCAGGUAGACUUAAGUAAAACUUUACAUACGCUGUGAUAAAUUAUUCGGUGUCAUUUAUAUCUGUUUGGUGGUCUUAUAUUUCAAGUUAUUUAUCUGGCUAAGAGGUCAGAUAAACAAUAAUAUCUGUUUUUUAUGUUUACUAAAAAAGGGUUAAAAUUACCCAGUUUUUAUAAUUGUGUUACAACUUUUAACAUUAAUAUUUACUAGAUUUAUUUUAAAAGCCUCAUACAUUUUAACAAUUAGGGUUUAUUAUGAUUAAAUAAGUAAUAUCAAUAUAGCUUUUGUUUCUCGAGACUUGCCUGUCUGUUUAUUAAAAACAUUUCCACUUGUGUACCAUAAGUGGUAGUACCUGCUCUAUGCUUAGGUAAAUGGCCGCAGUAUCUUGACUGUGCGAAGGUAGCAUAAUUAAUUGCCUUAUAAUUGAGGGCUUGUCUGAAUGGUUUGACAAGGUAAGGUUAACAUGGUUUAUAUUUUUGAAAUUAAUAAUGGGGGCACAGAAUCCCCUUAAAUUAAUUAGACGGAAAGACCCCGGGAUCUUUAUAUUUUGUCUGGGGCAGAUUAUAGUUAUUCACUUAUUAAUUUGACCCUAAUGGUUCAUUGGUGAAAGUUACCCCGGGGAUAACAGUGUAAUAGUCUAUUAGAGAUCUUAUCGAAUUGACUGUUUGCCACCUCGAUGUUGACUUAGGUUUAAACCCGGGCGCAGUAGUUCGGGUUUUAGGUCUGUUCGACCUUUUAUACCUCCA
rnacentral:rRNA from 1 species